rnacentral:hammerhead_ribozyme from 1 species
AUCCAGCCGACGAGUCCGAAAUAGCACGAAACGUGCGUCCUGUGU